rnacentral:tRNA from 1 species
GCUAUUUUGGCAGAUAAGUGCACUGGAUUUAGAAUCUAUUAACGUAAAUUUUAUUUUACAAGUAGUA